UAACUUAUAAAAUGGCGGCGUCCACAUGUAUACGUCCUUCCCGGGAUUAGCCAGGCAGCUAGAGGAUGACUUAAUAAGGAGAGUGGAGAAACUGGCCAAUUAAUGAACAUGCCCUGAUCAUUAAUCCACCACUGAAGGAAGUCAGAGCAGAAACUCAAGCAGGGACUUGAAGAAGAAACCAUGGAGGAAUACGGCUUGCUGGCUCACCUUUCAAGAUGUUCAACUUGGCUGCUCCAGCUACCAUGCCUGCUGCCUGCCACCUCCACUCUGUCAUGGAACUGUAAGCCCAAAUAAACUCUUUUUUUAUCUAA
rnacentral:sRNA from 1 species